rnacentral:piRNA from 1 species
GAAGACACUGCGAAAGGCAAGGAGGAAG